rnacentral:lncRNA from 13 species
ACAUUGUGUUGUCCCUAGGAGAAAGACAUUGUGUUGUCCCUAGGAGAAAGACAUUGUGUUGUCCCUAGGAGAAAGACAUUGUGUUGUCCCUAGGAGAAAGACAUUGUGUUGUCCCUAGGAGAAAGGCAUUGUGUUGUCCCUAGGAGAAAGACAUUGUGUUGUCCCUAGGAGAAAGAGAAAGGCAUUGUGUUGUCUCUAGGAGAAAG